AUAGAUGUACCUAAAAAAAAAGGUAAAGGAAAAGAUCUUGCUGAAUUUACCUGUAAUGUUCUCAAGGAGUUUAAGAGUGAUAAAAGUAUCCAGGCAAUAAUUUUGGACAAUACAAGUGUUAAUACAGGUAAAGAUAAUGGUUUAGUUGCUUGUCUUGAAAGAAUAUU
rnacentral:lncRNA from 1 species